AAGGAUGCUCGAUUCAGAAGAA
rnacentral:miRNA from 1 species